GGGACCGGCUUGGCAAUUCAAAGGUUGGCCAUUUGAUGGCAACCCAGUGGAAAUCUUUUCAAAAAUAUGCGCGUUUCACUUGAAAUAUGAUGAAAUGAGGCUGGACACAAAUGUAGCGCGAUGGGCUGUCACAGUGAUUGAAUUGAGUCGGACAAAGAGACAUUUGGAUAGAGCAGCGUUAAUGAUAUUUUGGGAACAUCUCGAUAAGCAUAUGAUCAAGAACAAGCCGCAUCUUCGUUUUUGAAAUGAUAAAGCGAUUCAGAUUGCAGAAAUGGCAAUAUAUUGAUCCCUGCGUCCCAUGUUCCCAUCGAUUGGAAUUUUUACUAGAAGAUAUAGGACCGUGAGGUUCUUUGCCGAUGGUGUUGCGACGCGCGAUUAUUCGCGGAUAAAGGUAUCUGCGAUAAGCAAUGUGAUGUGUGAUAACUGAAUCGUUGUCAUAUUACGUUAAAUGUGUUUACAUUUUAUUGUUGCUUGCACGAAUAAAAUACGAAAAAAAUUGCAA
rnacentral:misc_RNA from 1 species